UCAUUCCAGAGCCUAGCUGAAGGACGUCUCAGUUCCACCAGUGGGGAAGGACUACAACCGGUAGAUGCAUGGGUGGAGUGGACCUCAUAGGGUAUUACAAAGUCCUGCACAAGACCCAACGGUGGUACAAGACUCUGUUUUACCACUUCAUGGACAUCGCAAUUGUGAACGCCUUCCUCCUCCAGAAGGACCUUGCAAUUGGCAAAGGAGAGGUACCUCUGCAUCAGAAGGCGUUCAGAGAGACGCUCGCAGUGGAGCUGGCAGAGGCGGGGUCU